CAUACUGAAAUAUUUAUAGAUGAAAUACCUCAGAUUUGCUUUGAAAUAAUUCAGUGGGUCAUGGUGGGGGGGGAAGGGUGGGGAGAUGGGUCAUAGCACAGGUGAAAGAAAUUUGUCCGGAAGUUGGUAACUUUUGAAGGUGGGUAAUAAUUAUAUGGGGGUUCAAUGUGCUAUUCUAUUUUGCUGAUGUCUGAAAGGUAUUGCCCUAAUGAAAUGGCAUAUAAUUCCACUGGUGGGUUCCUAUUCUAGGGCAAAUAUAAUUAAUCAACUUUUACCAAACCACUUCAAAAUCCUGUUAAGAGCUCAGUGCAGCAAUAUACCAAAAAGUAUUAAGCAAGCAGAUAUCGAACACACCCCUGGUUUUUACAGAUGCCUCAUUCCUUACAGCUCGGGCAAUGAACUGUCACAACCAACUUGUUCUACUAUAAGCUCAUGUGCUCUUUGACACAUAUUUGAAGGCUGGCAAAACUUGAUUUAAACCUUUAAUAGUACACACAAAGAAUCAUUAUCUUAAUGGUUCAUCUUAUCCCUACCAAGGUAGCUGAACAAACAGGAUGGGCAGGAAUAAUAUUAUAGCACAGAGGUUAAGUGCUCUUUUCUAUUAGAACUCAGUGGGGGCACCUGGCUGGCUCAGUCAGUAGAGCAUGAGACUCUUGACCUUUCGGUUGUAAGUUUGAGGCCUGCAUUGGGUAUAGAGAUUGCUUAAAAAUAAAAUCUUAACAAAAAGAAAAACAAAAAAAGAACCCACUGGCAUUUGGCAACAGAUAAUAGAAAAAUCAGCUUCCUAAAGUUUAUUCAAAAGAAGUAUUUUUUUCUUGCAGAACAAAAAGUUCAGAGAAAGACAAGUUGCUGGCAUUGGCUCAACACAUCAAGAAUGUCAGGGUCUAGGUUUCUUGGACUUUUCCUCAUUGAUAAAACAUAGCUGCUACAUCUCCAGUCCUCUCAUCUGUGAUCCAGGGAGGAAGGCCAGGUACAGGAUGGGCAGGUACACUUUAGGACAGGUUUACGGGAAAAAUUAAAUGCACAGAGCACACUUACCCAAUUUGUGAAUCAUACGCAAAACAGAAAGCCACAUGGUGUGGAGAACCUCCAUGCCUGCCUUUUAGCAGAUGUUCCUGGGGAAUGCCAAUACAACCCAGGAUUCCUUGGAAAGUGAGGUAAGCAAAAUGACCAAAGCUCUGUGACCCUUAAUAUUUUAUAAGCUCUGUUCUAUUUUCUGGGCUCAGGAAGGAAUGUGGAAAGAGACAGACAUGUUGCCCCUAUGUGAAAGAUAACUUUUAGGUUAGCAAUUUUCAUGAAUGUCCUGAGAGUUGUCAUUUUAUGAGAAUAGUUAGUAAAGAUUAGGAACCUGUGAUAAAAGUAUGAAUGGGAAACACAAGCAUGUUAUUUCUUACUGAAAUAUAAUCCACAAUAAAUCCAAAAUAAGUAAUCAUCCAGAAAGACCUUGGUCUAAAUAAACAUGCUUCUCAAUGAAGUACAAUAUGUUCUUAGCAGAAUGUUUGCUUUUUCUCGGUUGGUUGCCAACAAAGCAUCUACACACAGAGAUUGUCAAUGUUACACAAAAAAUGUGUAAAUAUACAUAGAAGAUACACUCUGAAAGGGAAGAUUGCAGUUUAGUGGGUGGAAGAAACUAGAUCAGAGGUGAAGGUGACUGUGGUAAGAUGUAGAUAAGCAAGUGACAGAAGAUGAUCAAGAUAGAAGAUGUAAAGUAUUGGUCCUUGUGAUGGUUAAUUUUACGUGUCAACUUGAAUGGGUCACGGGAUGAACAUUAUUUCUGGGUGUAUCUAUGAAGGUGCUUUUUUUUUUUGGAUGAGAUUAGCAACUGACUAAAGCAGAUUGCUCAACCCAAUUUGUGUGGACAUCACCCAAGCCACUGGGGGCCUGAGAAGAAGGUGGAGGAAACCAGAAUUUACUCUUUCAGAUUGGGCUAAACAUAGGUCUUCUGCCCUCAGACUGGAACUUACACCACCGCUUUCCCAGUUCCCCAGCCUUUGGAUUUGGGCUCGCACCAGUGGUUCUCAGAACUUUGGGUUCAGAUUGUAACUACACCACUGGCUUUCUUGGGUCUCCAGCUUGCAGGCGGCUGUUGUUAGAACUUCUCAGCC